rnacentral:lncRNA from 1 species
CCAACGCCCGCCGGUGGUCACUCACUCGCUGCGACAACCAGGAGGAAGGGAGAUGUCUAGUCGAACGGGGACUUGCAAUAAGGCGCAUGUUUCGAUGAAAUCUGUUGGAGGGUCAUGAGUUUAAUCCGGAAGCCUACUAUGAUGCAUUGCUCUCUUAAAAACUGUUCCUCGGCUCUCUUCGCUCUUUUUCCGGUUUCUCUUAACCAUGGCCGGGUAAUCUCCCUGGUCGAUUCAGUCGGGCAGUGUCUUCUCCUGCUUGACUGGCUGCAGUUUGAACCGGACGGUCUGUUUAAAUAAGAAUUUAAAUCUAGAACAACGCUUCCUUUGAGCGGCCCGGACAAUCCUUAAGGGUUGCCACUCCAUCGAGGCUUAAACGAGGAUGACGCGGAGGUGUUGCCCAUUGAGGGGUUUUGGUGAAAAGGAGUCACUGAACAAAACGCUAAACCAAAUGAAAAAAAAUAUUAAAAAAGGUAAUGCUAUACUAUGCGACAUGAAGCUUUUGCUUUCGCAGAAAAUAAUGUGAAAUUCUUACUGCUUAGCAACGAAAACAAAGCGAGUGUCAAAACAUUGUUUUUCUUGCUCAUACAUUAUUGUGGCAGAAACGCGUUGGUCAUGUAACGGCCCAUCCCCAGCAACGUCAAUCUGCAGAAAGAAAAAGGCCAAUUUCCAUGGCCUUCAGACUCGAAGGUCGCGGAGAUAAUUACGUUAAACUGGCAUGGGGUGGUGUAGAGGUUGGGUGAGAAUGACACGUGUUUCAACAUUAUCAAGCAGACCCAUCCCCGGCAAAGUCACCUGCAGAAGGAGAGGCCAUGGAUAUCAUUACGUAAAAGGUGUCAUGCAGUGGUAAGAGGUUGGGUGAGAACGGGGCGUUUUGCAUCAUUAUCAAGAAGGUAAAAUAGCCACAAGGCUUAAGAGAAGGGGUGAGAAAAAGUCGUAUAAAAGGCGAGAGAAAAGUCGACAGGGAUCAGUCGAGCGAGUAUCUCCGACACGGCAACAAUGUCAUUCUUCGUGGUAAUAUCAGUUCGCAAUCAUGGUUAAUUAUGGUGUUGUGUUGCUGUUGGGUGUUGUAUCGUUGAUGUCGACCACGAGAGAAAAUCUUUCAAAAGGAAAGAGAAAGGGCAACAGAAGUCAAUCGAGUGAGCAUCUCUGACCCGGCAAUAGUUGCAUUCUUCGUUGUAUUACCAGGUCGCAAUCACGGUUAACUAUGGCGUCGUGCUGCUAUUGGAUGUUGUAUUGUCGAUGGCUGGGUCGACCACUGGUGUACCGAUGUCUCCUAGAUAAGGCGGUUACCAAACUGCAACGCCACCGCCUUACUACACAACAAUAUACACAGCGACCAGUUACUACACCGAGGUUGCAUAGUUUGGUUUAAAGUUAAACCACCAAGAAUCCAGUUUAUUACACCACAACUUGUGCUGCUCCCCGAACUACAUUACCAAAGCGCUAGAGUACUACACCACCAAGGCAACUGAGAUUACGCAACUACGUAUGCUGCUCCAACCUACUACACCGAGGCUUCAGCUUAUUACAACACCAAAGCUGUCGAAUACUACACAGGAUCGCCCAAGUACGAUAGUAAUCAGUCGAGUGAGCCGAAUAAAGUUUUCCUUUUCGAAUAGAGUUCGCUUCAAACAUUGGAACGGCAAACAGUGAAGACGAAUUCUUUGGAAUUACGUCGAAUUGUAUAGAAAAGAUAACACAUUCGUACGUGUACACCGCGUCGUUAAACUUGACAUUGUUGGUCGUAAGUCGAACUUGACGAUGGCCGUACCAUCACCUACGACAUGUGCGUUAUUGCCACAGAUGGUAAACGAAAAUCUUUUCCAAUCCCUGAGCGGUGUCCUUAAAGAUCCCCACGAGCACGUAAUGCUGUUCCGCCAUAUCGAUGGCGGUAACAUAGGCCGAGUUCUCCCUAAAUAUUUGAGCCAAUGGACAACCGAGAAGGUGAAAGCGCAAGGUGUUAAUGUGUUGCUCAAAGCCUAAUGUUGAGGGUGCAAUUUUGGAAGACUACAAGGUCGCAUUGACCUUAAACCAUGGUCAAAAGAAUUCAUUUCAGCAGAUUUAAACUGACCAUGUCGUCGCUGUUGUCGGUUGGGACGCAAACUUCACGGAUUUGGCUGUCGUUUCUGGUUUGGAAAUAGAUUCCAAUUUUGGUGGUUAUCGAGUCAAUACCAGCUUGAAGCACGAUCGAACGGCUGGUUGGUAAGAAUCCUUGAACAUUUUAUUUCAUAUAAAUUUUUUUAUUAGGCUGGAGAUGUUGCGUUCGUUUGUGAUGUCAAAUUGGGUCGUCGUCGUAUAGAACAUCACUUUGCUGCCUAUCACUGGUGUCUCAAGGCGAUUGUUGGAGAGAAUAAUACUGGCAACAAAACAUGGAUGAACAACCGCAGUGCACUGUCACCAAGUGCAUUCUUCGUCGUAUUAUCAGUACGCAAUCGGUGUCGUGCUGUUGCCGUUUGUCGUAUCGUUGAAGGUUGGAUCGAUCACUGGAGUACCCAUGUCUCCUGGGUAUGGCGGAUUCCAAACCAUCCCGCCGUCUUGCUACACAACGACAACAUUCGCACCAACCGGUUACUACACAGAGGGCCACAAUUACUACCCCACCAAGGCUCCAGAGUAUUACACCGCAGCUAAUGCUGCCCCGAGCUAAAUCACCAAAGAUCCUGAGUACUACACCGAGGCUCCCAAGUACUACACCACCGAGUCACCGGAGUACUACACGUAUGUUGCCCCAGCUUAUUCACCGAGCCUCCCAAGUAUUACUCAGUUCCUAGCUACUACACCGAGGCUCCAACUUUAUUACACCACAAAAGCGGCUGAAUACUACACCGAGCCGCCCAGUUCUACACC